UGGAGUCGUCGAACAGAACGUAUGUGCCAAUCGGGCCGCCGCCCAACGUUGGCGGAUUAUUCUCGAUGUAGAAGUCAAUGGUCGGGAAAUUGACGCCAUACACGUCGACCCCCCUGUAGGCUGGACGCUCAAUUGGGACUGAGGUGCGCGCUUCCCUCGACGACUGAUUGGACAAGUACCUCAGACUCUCGACGACCGUCUUCUUGUCCU
rnacentral:misc_RNA from 1 species